rnacentral:rRNA from 1 species
GAUGAACGCUGGCGGCGUGCCUAAUACAUGCAAGUCGAACGGAGUAUGUAGCAAUAUGUACUUAGUGGCGAACGGGCGAGUAACGCGUUGGUGACCUGCCCCGAAGAGAGGGAUAACAGUUCGAAAGGAUUGCUAAUACCUCAUGUGGUCACAGGGAUUAGAGGCCUUGUGACUAAACGGAGUAUUUCGCUUCGGGAGGGACCUGCGUCCCAUCAGCUCGUUGGUAGGUAACGCCUACCAAGGCUAUGACGGGUAGGGACCUGAGAGGGUGGCCCCCCGCACUGGCACUGAAACACGGGCCGAGACACCUACGGGUGGCAG